rnacentral:lncRNA from 1 species
UUAUUCAUUUUCUGCCUUUCUCUCUACCCCCGAUUCUCUUUCUCUCACGUCUCUCUCUUCGACAGUUCUAGAAGGCGAUUCUGGCUUCGCUGGCCGACUUUCUCUCUCUCACUACUCAUCUUUCUACUACAACCCGCUGUCCGUCUCUCUCUACUAAACGAAGCCACCGCAUAUCGAUGUGCUCGCCAUUGCAGGUCAUGGUGUUUGCGAGGCGCUCACCUUUGCAAAGCGUGGUUUUGGAUGCUGUAGACCGGAUUUGGAGAACAGAAUCGAAGCUCCAGCCAUAGAUCUAGUCGAUAAAUGGACGUUAUGCUCGACCGCUGUUCUCAGAUUGUUUCAUAUCGUGGUGGUUGCAGAUUGUGUUGGGUGGAGAUUGUGGCUGUGGUGUUGUAGUGAUGCAGGGCUAGUGGUGGUGUCAGGAUGGCAUGGGUGACGCGAUCUGGUGGUUUGCGUUGCAGAUCGUGGAUCUGUGGUGUUGGUGUGUGGCGG